rnacentral:pre_miRNA from 1 species
GGCCCAAAUUUGAAGUUGAGUAGUUUAGAAGGAUUAUCUGACUCUACUUAACUAUUCUACUUUGAGUUUGUGCCC